rnacentral:lncRNA from 1 species
UGAAACCUUAUCCUUCUCCUACCUUAUUCUACCAUGAUUCCACCAGAAUCUAUGGCAUUCCAGUCCAUGGAUGACUUAUGCUCACCCUCUAUCACCAUUAAACCUAAAUUGUUCGAAGAUUUGAAGCCCGACUUUGAUGUAUCUCUUCAGAUCUUUUUCAAAUCUGCAGAUCCAUGGCCUCUCCGGCCAUUAUUCUAGCGUGCCCAAGCAAUAUCAGCCCUUUCGACCCAGGAUCUGACUUUCCUCAAGACCUUUUUCAUUCUAGGGUUUUCUCUGCAACUCUAAGCCAUCUGAGGUUCUGUACUUGCUUAUUUUUUCUUAGAUCUGUGCCAUGCAUGAGCUUUACUUGACAUUUUAAAUGUUUUCCCCAAAUUUCCUGAUUAUUCUUGUUCUUUUUUUAUGUGUGCUUUAUGCUUGUAUGCUUUCUUCGUAUUCCGCAUGAGUUUGAUCUUUUGGUUUCUUUUCUAUUAUGCAAGACUCUUCUGCUUUUGUUUUUAUCCUUGUACCCGCAUGUUAAUCCAUGUUGUUUUCCUUAUUCUUUGCUAUAUGUGUUUACGGUUGAGUUCUUUGAUUUUGUUCACUUUGCUGAACUCUAUUUGUGUUCCUGCCAAGCAGGUUUUAUCUACUUUUUCUUAAAACUCGUAUCACCUUUUUUUCUGGAACUUCUUUAAGUCCCAAGUUAUUCUCAAGCAUGACUUUGAAUCAGUGUUCUUUCUAUCAUGUGUGUUUGUCUCUCAUUGAGUCUUUGAAAGAGACUUCUGAGCCUCUUCGAAUUACCUAUUUUCUUACCUCUAUUUUCUGACUCAAUUUGAAACCUUAGGAUUUGGGGUUUUCUUUGGGUAAAUGGUAUUAGGGUUCCACUUUGGGACCCUAGGCUUUCAGACUCACGAUGGUUCAGUAACAGAACUUGAAUUUCUUUUUGCUUGUGACUCUAAGGCUUUCAAUGAUAGACUCUUUUCUUAAAAAACUUGACAGUUCCUUUUGUUUGGCUGGUAUGCUUUAUAUAUGAGAAAAUUCCUCUUUCAAAAAGGUUCUCACCAACAAACUGAUUGAUUCUAAAAUCCCUUUAAUAAGGCUGAUGAAUUGUCACUGAUUUCCUUCAAUUGAACCUCAAUUACAUUUCUUGACUUAGUUCAUUCAAAUUGAACUUUUAAUUUUGGUUUCAUUGUUGUUUGAUUUAUUCCCUUACCAUAUUUGGCACAAACCGUGUACCGCUAAUUGUUUUCCUUAAAUAAUUUCUAUGUAUUACCCCUUUUGUGCUACUUUUAAAGGUUUUAAUCAAAUUUUCUUUCCUUAACUAAUUUUUACCCGUAGGAAUCAAAAUUCCUUAACCAAAGGGAGUCUGAUUUCAAUGAUAUUUCGUUGCCUUGCUUACUAGUUUCUCUACACUAUAAAAGGGACUGCCCUUCUGCAUUUUUAACACACUUCCAAUUUAAUGCUUUCACAUACACUUCGAGUUCAAUACCUUAGAAGUGCACCUUACGCUUUACGGUUUUCAUCUUCACACCACAUUCACUACCAGUUUUCCAAUUCAGUACUUGCACACUUGUAAUACUGUUUUGAAUUCAACACUCUGCUUUGCUUGAGAUCUUUUGGAGUCACUUUGCUUGCAACUUGGCUCUCUCAGGACUACUGUUUUCUUACUUGUUUUCCUUUGAAACUGGUAUUUUUUCAUUUAGUUUUCUGCCUCAUCCCUAUGAGUUUACUUUACAGUUCCAACACUCAUAUUUUCUUUGCUGCUCAUGUUCAAUGAUCUACACUAAUUAUGUUGUUCCUUGUAUCUGUUUCUAUUGUGAAUCCCUACCUCUAUUCCCUUCUAUAUGUUUGAGUUAAGGUUUUUGGCCUAGCAGUAUCCUAAUUACUGCCUAGGUCAUAGUCUGAUCCACAAUGGAUCCUAACUCCUAAGUUUGGCUAACAGGCUGGUCAGGGGUGUGCCAGCAUCCCAAUUGUUGGGCAUGACAACCAGCCUAUCAUGGCUCUCCCUGAUUCCCCCCUAUGCACUUAUACUUAUUCUUAGACUCUUAAGUUCUGCCCCUCUCUUAUGAGCCUUGCUUUGGGACCUUGAGUUCCCUCUGAACUUGGACAUAUGAGGCUUGGCAUUUCCGCACUGCACUAUGAUCUUAAUUUUGCAAUGUGUUUGGAGUGUAAGCACUGCUUGGAGCCCCUUUGAGAAUCUUGGGAAGUUUGACACAUCCCAAAUAUGAGAAAAGCUUUUGGAAAUCCGAUCCUGAAAGUUGGUUUAUCUCAUAUUAUUGGACUUUGAGUCUGAAUUUAGAUGUUUGGAUAUAGUUGGAAUUUUUGAUGUAAUUUUACUUUUCUUUUCUGAUUCAUUUGGGUCUGUAAUAAUUUGUAAUAACAAUUGAGGAUGGCUAGUGGAAAGGGAUGUGGAUGAAUGCAUGCAA